rnacentral:lncRNA from 1 species
UUUGGAGGGUUUGCAGCUGUUCUCACUGCUUCUCCGGAAGAUUUGUUUCUAUAAAACAUGUUCAGUAGGAAAUGCCAUGUUUCUACAGAUCCGCACUGCACUCUUGACACUUUCCAUGAUUGCGGUCCAAAUGGACUGGCUUCUGCUCGGAAAGGGUUCCGGUUGAGCUCGGGUCGCGCGUAUGCAGUACGACAUGUAUAAUGUCACCGUUUCCCUCUUUCCGGUCUGUGAUGCUGGACGGAUUAUGCAGUGGGUUUUUGGAUUAAUGAAUGACUGACUGUUGAAUAGUGUGGAAUUUGUGAAGAUCUCUAGCGGCCUCCAGAAUAGUAUAAUAGUUUCUUAGUCAGUUUGCUUAAACUCUUGAUAAUUUGCGGGGAAACAAGUGUAAAUAUUUGAAAUAUUUCAGGCAGCCCUCAGAUUACGAACGAGUUCCGUUCCUGAGUCUGUUUUAAAUCGAAUCUGUACGUAAAUCGGAUAAUUGUACAUUUCAUCCGGACAGAGCCUUUUACACGCUCCGUUAUUUUCGCUUUGUCCUUUAAAAUUGUCCCGAUCGUCGACCGACUGUAGCCUAAUACUUUUCCAAUGUUCGUUGGCGUUUCACCUUUUUCCGAUCGCUUUAUUAUUUCCACUUUAGUUUCAAUCGUGAUCGUUUUCCUUUUCUUUAAUGCGUCACCAUCACCUGCAUCAUAUUUACACUUUGGUGUCAUGGUAACAAGGACACUGUUAACAGCAACAUGGACUGACUAACAAGAAGGAAGUCCUAGUCCAACUUCGGCCUCACGCGCUCCUCCCACGAGCCGACAAACCGCUGUUGACGCAAAAUGUUUUGAUGAGAGUCACAUAGUAGCGCCCGUUUCUUAUUAUGAAUCAUUGUAUGCAACUGGAAUUUUUAGGCUUUACGGGGUUCGGUUCAUAACUACGGGUUGUACGUAAGUCGGACGUUCGUAACCUGGGGACUGCCUGUAUUUUAAAAACAUAGACGUAGUAUGUUUACUUUUUCUAGCUCACCGGACAGUUUGUGCCUUGCUAAAAAUUGC